CAAAAACAUUGCCUUUUGAAUGUAUUUAAGGUAAAUCCUGCCCAAUGCUAAAAGUUAAUGGCCGCAGUAUCUUGACUGUGCGAAGGUAGAUUGAUAAGUUGCCCCUUAAUAUGGGGAUCUCACAAAUGGGUAAACGUGAUACUAACUGUCUCAUUUAAGCUUAGUGAACAUGACAAAAAGGUGAAGAGGCCUUUAUAUUUUUGUGGGACGAGUAGACCCUACAGCGCUUUACUUUUUGAAGUUUGGUUGGGGCGACAUUGGAGAACCUAAAUCCUCCAAAGCAUGAAAGGUUAAUAAACUUUGAUCCGGGCUUCCGAAUUUAACAUAAGCAACCUUAGGGAUAACAGGCCGUUCUUUCUAGAGAGCUCUUAUUGAUAGAAAGGCUGGGCACCUCGAUGUUGGCUCGGG
rnacentral:rRNA from 1 species